rnacentral:rRNA from 1 species
UGGGGGAUAUUGCACAAUGGGGGAAACCCUGAUGCAGCAACGCCGCGUGAAGGAAGAAGGUCUUCGGAUUGUAAACUUCUGUCUUUAGUGACGAUAAUGACGGUAGCUAAAGAGGAAGCUCCGGCUAACUACGUGCCAGCAGCCGCGGUAAUACGUAGGGAGCAAGCGUUGUCCGGAUUUACUGGGUGUAAAGGGUGCGUAGGCGGUUCUGCAAGUCAGUUGUGAAAACUAUGGGCUUAACCCAUAGCCUGCAAUUGAAACUGUGGGACUUGAGUGAGUAGAGGUAGGUGGAAUUCCCGGUGUAGCGGUGAAAUGCGUAGAGAUCGGGAGGAACACCAGUGGCGAAGGCGGCCUACUGGGCUUUAACUGACGCUGAAGCACGAAAGCAUGGGUAGCAAACAGGAUUAGAUACCCUGGUAGUCCAUGCCGUAAACGAUGAUUACUAGGUGUGGGGGUCUGACCCCUUCC